rnacentral:rRNA from 1 species
GACGAACGCUGGCGGCGUGCCUAAUACAUGCAAGUCGAGCGGACGAAUCGAAAGCUUGCUUUUGAUUCGUUAGCGGCGGACGGGUGAGUAACACGUGGGCAACCUGCCCUGUAGACGGGGAUAACACCGAGAAAUCGGUGCUAAUACCGGAUAACACGAAAUGUCGCAUGACGUUUCGUUGAAAGACGGCGCAAGCUGUCGCUACAGGAUGGGCCCGCGGCGCAUUAGCUAGUUGGUGAGGUAACGGCUCACCAAGGCGACGAUGCGUAGCCGACCUGAGAGGGGGAUCGGCCACAGGGGGAAGAAGAAAGGGCACAGAACCCAAGGGGGGGCAGGAGUGGGGAAUUUUCCGAAAGGGAAGAAAGUGGGAGGGGGCAACGCCGGGGGGGGGAAGAAGGCCUUGGGGUCGUAAAGCUCUGUUGUUAGGAAAAAAAAAGAAACGCAGUAACGGGCGUUACCGUGAGGGUACAUAACGAGAAAGCCACGGCUAAAUACGU